AUUGAACGCUGGCGGCGGGCCUAACACAUGCAAGUCGAGCGAGCGGCGGACGGGUGAGAAAUGUCUGGGAAACUGCCUGAUGGAGGGGGAUAACUACUGGAAACGGUAGCUAAUCCCGCAUACGAUCAGAUGUGCCCCGAUGGGAUUAGCUAGGAGGUGUGGUGACGGCUCACCUAGUCGACGAUCCCUAGCGGGUCUGAGAGGGAGACCAGCCACACGGGAACUGAGACACGGUCCAGACUCCUACGGUAGGCAGCAGUGGGGAAUAUUGCACAAUGGGGGCAAGCCUGAUGCAGCCAUGCCGCGUGUGUGAAGAAGGCCUUCGGGUUGUAAAGCACUUUCAGCGGGGAGGCGUUACCCGCAGAAGAAGCACCGGCUAACUCCGUGCCAGCAGCCGCGGUAAUUC
rnacentral:rRNA from 1 species